CAUUAAAUAAAGAUAUGUCCAUAGGUAGUCAUAAGAGGAUCAUAAGACAUGUCCUAAGAUAUAUCUUAUGACAGGUCUUAGGAAUGCUUCGUAAUACCGACCCCUGGACAUUACAGUAUCAAAAAAGGAGAAAACACACUAACAUGAAGGAAUAAUACAAAAGUUAUGAAUAUGUUAUUGAGGUCAAUAUCAUCUGUUGCGAUAAUAGAAAAAUAUCCUUAUUUUUCGAUUUUGUACAAGUUAAAACCAUUUUUAAGCAAUAUUUU
rnacentral:lncRNA from 1 species